CCUACGGGGGGCUGCAGUGAGGAAUAUUGGUCAAUGGUCGGGAGACUGAACCAGCCAAGCCGCGUGAGGGAUGAAGGUACAGAGUAUCGUAAACCUCUUUUGUCAGGGAACAAAGGCGGGGACGUGUCCCCGGAUGAGUGUACCUGAAGAAAAAGCAUCGGCAAACUCCGUGCCAGCAGCCGCGGUAAUACGGAGGAUGCGAGCGUUAUCCGGAUUUAUUGGGGUAAAGGGGGGCGCAGGCGGGCUGUUGAGUCAGCGGUAACAGCCCGGGGCCAAACCCCGGCCCGCCGUUGAAACUGGCAGUCUCGAGUUGGAGAGAAGUAUGCGGAAUGCGCGGUGUAGCGGUGAAAUGCAUAGAUAUCGCGCAGAACUCCGAUUGCGAAGGCAGCAUGCCGGCUCCACACUGACGCUGAGGCACGAAAGCGUGGGUAUCGAACAGGAUUAGAUACCCCGGUAGUC
rnacentral:rRNA from 1 species